rnacentral:rRNA from 1 species
GAUGAACGCUGGCGGCGUGCCUAAUACAUGCAAGUCGAGCGAACGGACGAGAAGCUUGCUUCUCUGAUGUUAGCGGCGGACGGGUGAGUAACACGUGGAUAACCUACCUAUAAGACUGGGAUAACUUCGGGAAACCGUAGCUAAUACCGGAUAAUAUUUUGAACCGCAUGGUUCAAAAGUGAAAGACGGUCUUGCUGCCACUUAUAGAUGGAUCCGCGCUGCAUUAGCUAGUUGGUAAGGUAACGGCUUACCAAGGCAACGAUGCAUAGCCGACCUGAGAGGGUGAUCGGACACACUGGAACUGAGACACGGUCCAGACUCCUACGAGAGGCAGCAGUAGGGAAUCUGCCGCAAUGGGCGAAAGCCUGACGGAGCAACGCCGCGUGAGUGAUGAAGGUCUUCGGAUCGUAAAACUCUGUUAUUAGGGAAGAACAUAUGUGUAAGUAACUGUGCACAUCUUGACGGUACCUAAUCAGAAAGCCACGGCUAACUACGU